AACGAACGCUGGCGGCAUGCCUAGCACAUGCAAGUCGAACGAGACCUUCGGGUCUAGUGGCGCACGGGUGCGUAACGCGUGGGAACCUGCCCUUAGGUUCGGAAUAACUCCCCGAAAGGGGUGCUAAUACCGGAUAAUGUCUUCGGACCAAAGAUUUAUCGCCUUUGGAUGGGCCCGCGUUGGAUUAGCUAGUUGGUAGGGUAAAAGCCUACCAAGGCGACGAUCCAUAGCUGGUCUGAGAGGAUGAUCAGCCACACUGGGACUGAGACACGGCCCAGACUCCUACGGGAGGGAGCAGUGGGGAAUAUUGGACAAUGGGCGAAAGCCUGAUCCAGCCAUGCCGCGUGAGUGAUGAAAGCCUUAGGGUUGUAAAGCUCUUUUACCCGGGAUGAUAAUGACAGUACCGGGAGAAUAAGCUCCGGCUAACUCCGUG
rnacentral:rRNA from 1 species